rnacentral:rRNA from 1 species
CUACACGACCGUACCGCAAACCGACACUGGUGCGCGAGAUGAGUAUUCUAAGGCGCUUGAGAGAACUCAGGAGAAGGAACUCGGCAAAUUGACACCGUAACUUCGGAAGAAGGUGUGCCCUAGUAUUGUGAAGUGAACAACGGAGCAAGAAAGGGUUGCAAAAAAUCGGUGGCUGCGACUGUUUAUUAAAAACACAGCACUCUGCAAACACGAAAGUGGACGUAUAGGGUGUGACGCCUGCCCGGUGCUGGAAGAUUAAAUGAUGGGGUGCAAGCUCUUGAUUGAAGUCCCAGUAAACGGCGGCCGUAACAAUAACGGUCCUAAGGUAGCGAAAUUCCUUGUCGGGUAAGUUCCGACCUGCACGAAUGGCGUAACGAUGGCCACACUGUCUCCUCCUGAGACUCAGCGAAGUUGAAAUGUUUGUGAUGAUGCAAUCUCCCCGCGGAAAGACGGAAAGACCCCAUGAACCUUUACUGUAGCUUUGUAUUGGACUUUGAACAGAUCUGUGUAGGAUAGGUGGGAGGCUUUGAAGCAGGGUCGCUAGAUCUUGUGGAGCCAACGUUGAAAUACCACCCUGGUGUGUUUGAGGUUCUAACCUAGGUCCAUUAUCUGGAUCGGGGACAGUGCAUGGUAGGCAGUUCGACUGGGGCGGUCUCCUCCCAAAGCGUAACGGAGGAGUUCGAAGGUACGCUAGUUACGGUCGGACAUCGUGACGAUAGUGCAAUGGCAUAAGCGUGCUUAACUGCGAGACUGACAAGUCGAGCAGAUGCGAAAGCAGGACAUAGUGAUCCGGUGGUUCUGUAUGGAAGGGCCAUCGCUCAACGGAUAAAAGGUACUCUGGGGAUAACAGGCUGAUACCGCCCAAGAGUUCAUAUCGACGGCGGUGUUUGGCACCUCGAUGUCGGCUCAUCUCAUCCUGGGGCUGUAGCCGGUCCCAAGGGUAUGGCUGUUCGCCAUUUAAAGAGGUACGUGAGCUGGGUUUAAAACGUCGUGAGACAGUUUGGUCCCUAUCUUCCGUGGGCGCUGCAGAUUUGAGGAAGCCUGCUCCUAGUACGAGAGGACCGGAGUGGACACACCUCUGGUGUAUCGGUUGUCACGCCAGUGGCAUUGCCGAGUAGCUAUGUGUGGAAGAGAUAACCGCUGAAAGCAUCUAAGCGGGAAACUCGUUUCAAGAUGAGAUCUGCCGGGGCCUUGAGCCCCCUAAAGAGUCGUUCAAGACCAGGACGUUGAUAGGUCAGGUGUGGAAGCG